rnacentral:rRNA from 1 species
AGAGUUUGAUCCUGGCUCAGGAUGAACGCUGGCGGCGUGCUUAACACAUGCAAGUCGAACGAAUUUAGAGAAGCUUGCUUCUCUAAGUUAGUGGCGGACGGGUGAGUAACGCGUGGGUAACCUACCCUAUAGAGGGGGAUAACGUUUGGAAACGAACGCUAAUACCGCAUAAACUAUGGAGCUUCGCAUGAGGCUUAUAGCAAAGAUUUCAAAUCAAAUUUGAUUUUGCUAUAGGAUGGACCCGCGUUGGAUUAGCUAGUUGGUGAGAUAACAGCCCACCAAGGCGACGAUCCAUAGCCGGCCUGAGAGGGUGAACGGCCACAUUGGGACUGAGACACGGCCCAAACUCCUACGGGAGGCAGCAGUGGGGAAUAUUGCACAAUGGGCGAAAGCCUGAUGCAGCAACGCCGCGUGAAGGAUGAAGGUCUUCGGAUUGUAAACUUCUAUCAACAGGGAAGAAUAAAUGACGGUACCUGUAUAAGAAGCUCCGGCUAACUACGUGCCAGCAGCCGCGGUAAUACGUAGGGAGCAAGCGUUAUCCGGAUUUACUGGGUGUAAAGGGUGCGUAGGCGGCUUUAUAAGUCAAAAGUGAAAUUUCGGGGCUCAACCCCGGAGCUGCUUUUGAAACUGUAGAGCUAGAGUGUGGGAGAGGAAAGUGGAACUUUGAGUGUAGCGGUGAAAUGCGUAGAGAUUCAAAGGAACACCAGUAGCGAAGGCGGCUUUCUGGACCAUUACUGACGCUGAGGCACGAAAGCGUGGGGAGCAAACAGGAUUAGAUACCUUGGUAGUCCACGCCGUAAACGAUGAAUGCUAGGUGUUGGGGCUUACGGGCUUCAGUGCCGCAGUUAACACAAUAAGCAUUCCACCUGGGGAGUACGACCGCAAGGUUGAAACUCAAAGGAAUUGACGG